UACAAACCAUUGAUUAAGAGUAGUAGACUUAGUUAUAGGAUUUAAAGAGAGUUGUAGAGGGUGAGAUUACAACAAUGCAGGCUAUGUCGAAUGGACUUAUAAGGGCGGGAGGAACAGCUUAUAUUCUAUUAGCUUAGUAAUGCCUGACGGGUUUUCCACUCGUUACUAUAGGAAAAUGUAUUAAUUGUACAUGAAGUGAGUGGGCUAAUAUUUGCCAAUUUAGGUGGUACCGCAGAAGUUAUAGACUUUUGUCCUAGUA
rnacentral:ncRNA from 1 species